CCAAUAGCGUAUAUUAAAGUUGCUGCAGUUAAAAAGCUCGUAGUUGAAUUUCGGGACCAUCAUGUCGGUCGUGCCUCGGUACGUACUGGCAUUGUUGGUUUCUCCCUUCUGACGAACCAUGAUGUCAUUUAUUUGGUGUUGUGGGGAAUCAGGACUGUUACUUUGAAAAAAUUAGAGUGUUUAAAGCAGGCUCACGCUUGAAUACAUUAGCAUGGAAUAAUGAAAUAGGACGUUUGAAUCUAUUAUGUUGGUUUCUAGGAUCGACGUAAUGAUUAAUAGGGAUAGUUGGGGGCAUUAGUAUUCAAUUGUCAGAGGUGAAAUUCUUGGAUUUAUUGAAGGCUAACUACUGCGAAAGCAUUUGCCAAGGAUGUUUUCAUUAAUCAAGAACGAAAGUUAGGGGAUCGAAGACGAUCAGAUACCGUCGUAGUCUUAACCAUAAACUAUGCCGACUAGGGAUCGGAUGAUGUUAAUUUUUUAAUGACUCAUUCGGCGCCUUACG
rnacentral:rRNA from 1 species